rnacentral:rRNA from 1 species
UUGACCUCGAAUCAGGUAGGAAUACCCGCUGAACUUAAGCAUAUCAAUAAGCGGAGGAAAAGAAACCAACAGGGAUUGCCUCAGUAACGGCGAGUGAAGCGGCAACAGCUCAAAUUUGAAAUCUGGCCUUCCGGUCCGAGUUGUAAUUUGCAGAGGAUGCUUCGGGCGCGGUGCCUUCCAAGUCCCCUGGAACGGGGCGCCGGAGAGGGUGAGAGCCCCGUACGGUUGGCGGCCAAGCCUGUGUGAAGCUCCUUCGACGAGUCGAGUAGUUUGGGAAUGCUGCUCUAAGCGGGAGGUAGACCCCUUCUAAAGCUAAAUAUUGGCCAGAGACCGAUAGCGCACAAGUAGAGUGAUCGAAAGAUGAAAAGCACUUUGAAAAGAGGGUUAAACAGCACGUGAAAUUGUUGAAAGGGAAGCGCUUGCGACCAGACGUGCGCCGGGGUGCUCAGCGGGCGUUCUCGCCCGUGCACUCGCCCCGGUGCAGGCCAGCGUCGGUUUGGGCGGGGGGAUAAAGGCGCCUGGAAUGUGGCUCCCUCGGGAGUGUUAUAGCCAGGCGUGCCAUGCCUCCGCCCGGACCGAGGUACGCGUUCUGCAAGGACGCUGGCGUAAUGGUCCCCAGCGACCCGUCUUGAAACACGGACCAAGGAGUCGAGGUUUUGCGCGAGUGUUUGGGUGGAAAACCCGCACGCGUAAUGAAAGUGAACGUAGGUGAGAGCUUCGGCGCAUCACCGACCGAUCCUGAUGUUUUCGGAUGGAUUUGAGUAAGAGCGUAGGGCCUCGGACCCGAAAGAUGGUGAACUAUGCUUGGAUAGGGUGAAGCCAGAGGAAACUCUGGUGGAGGCUCGCAGCGGUUCUGACGUGCAAAUCGAUCGUCAAAUCUGAGCAUGGGGGCGAAAGACUAAUCGAACCAUCUAGUAGCUGGUUACCGCCGAAGUUUCCCUCAGGAUAGCAGUGUUGUUCUUCAGUUUUAUGAGGUAAAGCGAAUGAUUAGGGACUCGGGGGCGCUAUUUAGCCUUCAUCCAUUCUCAAACUUUAAAUAUGUAAGAAGCCCUUGUUGCUUAAUUGAACGUGGGCAUUCGAAUGUACCAACACUAGUGGGCCAUUUUUGGUAAGCAGAACUGGCGAUGUGGGAUGAACCAUACGGGGGGUUAAGGUGCCAGAGUAGACGCUCAUCAGACACCACAAAAGGCGUUAGCACAUCUUGACAGCAGGACGGUGGCCAUGGAAGUCGGAAUCCGCUAAGGACUGUGUAACAACUCACCUGCCGAAUGUGCUAGCCCUGAAAAUGGAUGGCGCUCAAGCGUCUCACCCAUACCCCCCCCUCAGGGUAGACACGAUGCCCUGAGGAGUAGGCGGCCGCAGUGCUGUGUGACGAAGGCUAGGGCGUGAGCCCGGCUCGAACCGGCGCUGGUGCGGAUCUUGGUGGUAGUAGCAAAUACUUCAAUGAGAACUUGAAGGACCGAAGUGGGGAAAGGUUCCAUAUGAACAGCGGUUGGAUGUGGGUUAGUCGAUCCUAAGCCAUAGGGAAGUUCCGUUUCAAAGGGGCACUUGUGCCCCGUGUGGCGAAAGGGAAGCCGGUUAAUAUCCCGGCACCUGGAUGUGGGUUUUUCGCGGCAACGCAACCGAACGCGGAGACGGCGGCGGGGGCCCCGGGCAGAGUUCUCUUUUCUUCUUAACGGCCUCUCACCCUGGAAACAGUUUGUCUGGAGAUAGGGUUUAACGACCGGAAGAGCCCGGCACUUCUGCCGGGUCCGGCGCGCCCCCGACGUCCCUUGAAAAUCCGCGGGAGGGAAUAAUUCUCACGCUAGGUCGUACUCAUAACCGCAGCAGGUCUCCAAGGUGA